CUAAGUUUGAUGGCGACCGGCGCACGGGUGAGUAACACGUAUCCAACCUGCCGAUGACUCGGGGAUAGCCUUUCGAAAGAAAGAUUAAUACCCGAUGGCAUAGUUCUUCCGCAUGGUAGAACUAUUAAAGAUUUCGGUCAUCGAUGGGGAUGCGUUCCAUUAGGUUAGUUGGCGGGGUAACGGCCCACCAAGCCUUCGAUGGAUAGGGGUUCUGAGAGGAAGGUCCCCCACAUUGGAACUGAGACACGGUCCAAACUCCUACGGGAGGCAGCAUG
rnacentral:rRNA from 1 species